UCUGCUUUGAAGAAAUGGUGCUGUAAUUAUGACAAAAAAAUAGUAAUCAACACUCUUUUAACAAAUGAAAUGCAGCACUUUUUGACUUUCAGUGUUUCAUAAUUACUGUAUCUUUUACUAUAGUUAUUAUAAAUGUUUUAAGCUACAGGAACAAAAUUAAAAAGAAAAUCAAACAAAUCCUGAGCAGAUAAUUAACACAUUACUAUGCCAUAGCCAUUCUCUCUCUUUCUGUUCCUUAUGUUACUUUCAUGUCAUUUACUGUAAAUAUUGACUUGGACCCCAAUAUGUGUCAGGUACUGUUUUAUGAGUUAGGGAUACACAGGGAACAAGAUCAACAAGGUUCAUGGCUUCACAGUGUCCAUGCUGGGGGAAAAGAGGGAAGCAAUCAAUGACAAAUCAAUAAACGUAUUAACAGUAAGACUUCAGAACAGAAUAAAUAAUGGAAGGACCAAUAUACUAUGGUGUACAUAACUGAUGGUAAAUGGUGUUUCUGAACCAUAAAUGGUGGUUGGGAAGGAUCUAUCUAGAGAAGUAAUAAUGAAAUUCCUGACCUGGACAACAGUGCCUAGAAACUUCUCUUUGUCUGCCUGAUCAUGACUUGGACUUCCUAGUCCCAAAUCCAUACCUACUUUGGUAAUCUCCCCCAAACAAUGCUGUGGAUGAUUAAGAAAGAAUUCCUCAGAAGAUGGAAUUUCAAGAUUAUACUUACUCCUUAUUUCAUGGAUCUUCCGGAUGCUGUCAGAUUUCAGGCUUGAAAUCUGUCUUGACAUUUCCUAGAUGCAUUUUUGUUUUGCCUUUCCACUAGUUAAUUGGUGACAUAUUUGCUAUUUUUCAGUGAUUUGCCAGACCCAUGGGCACAGUGGGAUACUUGUCUUCUACAUUUGUACUUCUCAUCAACCAACCAACAAACAAACACCAAAAAACUAAAGCUGUUGAAAUUGAUGAAGCAAACCACAAUGUCUCAAGCUUUAGAAAAAAUGUUCCUGGUAUAUCAAAUGGAAUAGAAAAUUCUUUGAUCUUUGGAACUCUUGUUAUCUGAUGCAACCAAGAAUCAAUAAUAAAGAAAUGGUGAAUAUUUGUUAUAAUGUCCUG
rnacentral:lncRNA from 1 species